CCUANGGGGGGCAGCAGUAAGGAAUAUUGGUCAAUGGGCGCAAGCCUGAACCAGCCAUGCCGCGUGCAGGAAGACGGCCCUAUGGGUUGUAAACUGCUUUUAUACGGGAAAAAACCCCGGGUUUCGUACCUGGGCUGAUGGUACCGUAAGAAUAAGGAUCGGCUAACUCCGUGCCAGCAGCCGCGGUAAUACGGAGGAUCCAAGCGUUAUCCGGAUUUAUUGGGUUUAAAGGGUGCGCAGGCGGAAUGAUUAGUCAGUGGUGAAAUCCUACGGCUCAACUGUAGAACUGCCAUUGAUACUGUCAUUCUUGAGUAUAAUUGAUGUGGGCGGAAUGUGUCAUGUAGCGGUGAAAUGCUUAGAUAUGACACAGAACACCGAUCGCGAAGGCAGCUCACAAAGCUAUAACUGACGCUCAGGCACGAAAGCGUGGGGAUCAAACAGGAUUAGAUACCCCGNUANUC
rnacentral:rRNA from 1 species